rnacentral:lncRNA from 1 species
GUUUUGUACCUCAUAUGUUCACAGGGUGGUGCCCAGUGCCCAGUGCCCAGCACAGUGUCUGACUCACUAGUAACCAGAUAAAGACUUACAGGAACCCUGCAACCUGAUAACUCAACACUGGUACAUGAAACCAGGAAAACAAUCCAGAAAGGCAGACAAGACUCCCAUUUUGAGAUGUCUUAGGAUCCAGAGUUACACUGUUCAGUACAAUUGUCACUAGCCACAAGAGACCAUUCAAAUUUAAAUUCACUAAAUUAAGAAGAAUGGUAGAAUCUGUUUUUCAACGAUGUCAGUCUUAUUGCCAGUGCUCAGUGGUCACACUGGUUGUAGCUUUCUAGUUCCCAUCAUCAAAGCUAGUUCCAAAGGGAGAGGUUUUUGUUUCUGAUAAUUAUGGUGAGCUUUAUCUAUUCCUAUACCCUUGUGAGAGCACUGGGAUUCACUGUUUCUGUAACAGUGACUUGGAACUCAUAUAGCUUGGUCAAUGACAAGUCUGGUAUUGAAUCCAAUUACUCUGAUGCCACAGAUUGUUGUGGAUUAAUGGGAUGUGGACAUACUACGGAUUUCCUUACAACGUACCAGGGUAGGAAACAAACAACCAAAACAUCAAAGUUCUCUUUUGGCUUCCUGUGUGAAUACAGUCAAUUAUGAAGACAGAAUGGAAGCACCAGUGUGCUUAACCACUGGAGAGGACUAGUGUUCUCAGAUGCCAUUAUGUAACUGGCCUAGCAGAAAUGAAGAUUUUUCAAAAGAGGUAUUUAUGUCUCUCAAUCUAUCAGAAAAAUGAAACAAUGGAUCCCAAAAGAAAUGGGAAUUUUCCUGGAAAUCUCAUGCUGGCAGAAGUACAAGGCAUCGGUGAGAAGGCAAGUUGCCUCACACAAAGGUUUCACACAAUCCUAGCAACUUGUGAGUAGCAACUGUUUCACCUCUAUAGCCUUAUACUGAGUAGGAAUAGUGUUUGUCAUAGACAACUUACACUAUAUGUAUAUGUUAAGAAUUUUGAUAUUGAGCCGGGAAUUGGUGGUGCACGCCUUUAAUCCCAGCAUUCGUGAGGCAGAGGCAGGCGGAUCUCUGUGAGUUUGAGGCCAGCCUGGUCUCCAUAGCGAGUGCCAGGAUAGGCUCCAAAGCUACACAGAGAAAACCAAAAGAGAGAGAGAGAGAGAGAGAGAGAGAGAGAGAGAGAGAGAGAGAUAAUUUUGAGAUUGAGAGGGUAUCCUGGGUUAUCCUUGCAAGAGGGAGACCAGAGAAUAUUCCCUCACAAGAAGACAGUGUGAAGACAGAGUAGAAAGGGAUUUGAAGAUGCUGGCCUUGAGCACUGGAAUAAUAUAGUCACAAACAGCUUUAUCUGCUCACUGAGCACUGGAAUAAUAUAGCCACAAACAGCUUUAUCUGCUCAC